GAGAUGUUGGGUUAAGUCCCGCAACGAGCGCAACCCUUGUCAUUAGUUGCUAACAUUAAGGUGAGCACUCUAAUGAGACUGCCGGGGACAACUCGGAGGAAGGUGGGGAUGACGUCAAAUCAUCAUGCCCCUUAUGUCCUGGGCUACACACGUGCUACAAUGGCUAGAACAAAGAGAAGCGAAACAGUGAUGUGGAGCAAAUCUUAAAAACUAGUCCCAGUUCGGAUUGAUGGCUGCAACCCGCCAUCAUGAAGCCGGAGUUGCUAGUAAUCGCGAAUCAGCAUGUCGCGGUGAAUACGUUCCCGGGUCUUGUACACACCG
rnacentral:rRNA from 1 species